CGAGAUGUCUGCAGUCACCCUGAAAAAUGAGAACCAGGUAGACAAAGAGCCAAGUGUUACAACCACUUUGAGGAGCCUCUAUUCAAUCAUCAGCUGUGUCUCAGCUAGAAUUAAUUGCAAAUUUGGAAUUAAGCUGAGGCCUGACCCUUGCAUUGCUCUUGUGAGCCUGGUUCUCACUGUCUCUCUGCAGCCGGGAUUGCUUUUGUCGGUGGUGGCUUGGUCUUGCUCCUACCUGAGACAAAGGGAAAAACUCUGCCUGAGACCAUUGAAGAUGCUGAAAACAUGCACAGACCUGCUUUUACUGGGCAGCAGUGGAGGCGCCAGCACAACAGACCCCACCCAGCACUGAGGAAAGAACCACGCAGACACAGCCUGCCCUUCUUCAGCUUGCUCUCCCGCUGCCACCAGCCACAGCCAUGCCAGUUGACUCCAUAGAUUUCCACUUCAGGCUCUCACAGACAAUCUUCCACUGAAUUUCUCUAUUUGUCUUCUGAGAACUUUCACACUUCCAGGGUCCCCAGACAUCUGACAACAGUGACUUUUGCAGCCCAGGCAGGACACUCAUGAAGGAAUGCUUUCUUCUCACUUGCAGCUCAUUUUCAUAGCAAGCAGGAAUGUAUUUGUACUCCCAACCCACCUCCACACCGCACCUAAUAUUACAUGAAAGAAAGCAUGUAGAUAGUGGCUGAUUUAGUGUCACUGCUCAUACACCCCUGAAAAUCUCAGUGCCUGAUGCUGAGCAGGCUCAGCUCUUACCACCCUAUAGUGAACACCUCUGCAGAGCACGCUUAGGGAGUCCAUGAGUAUCCACUAGAACUUCCCACUUAGUUCUCCAGAAAAGGUGGAAUAAACUAAGUGGGGGGACGGGGGGAAAAUCUGGUUCCAGACUAACAUUUAAGCUUUGGCAUCCCAGAAUUUGAUUGGCUAUGAGACAAGCUGGAAAAUGAGAAGGAAGGGAAGAAGGAGCUGCAGGCAGCUGAGCCUUAGGCCAUGAGGCUCUGAGUGCUACUGCCCUAUCUCGAGGGAUCAGUGAUGGGGCAAGGAGAGAAAGCCUCAUCACAUACAUCCACUGGGAGCAGCACAAGCAAUAAUACAACACAGCACUCUGUACAAUAAAGUAAAUUCCUGAUGUUUUAGUAUGCAUUGCUUUCCUAAUGCUGUGGUUUGGGCUUUUUGCAUGGCCAAGCUCCAAAAUAUCUAUGAGUAAUAUGAAUUAAGGGAAAAGAUGAGCCGCAAAGGAUCUAGCUUUCUAGGUAGACCUCUAUUUAUAACAUGCUGAAAUAUAACAACUGUAGGGCUUUUCAAGGUUGAAAGUCCUCUCCCUAGCCCUUGGGAAUCUCAUAAAGUGGUUCACAUCACAUUCAGCAGCUUUUAUGUAUGCAAUGCAUUUUGGUUUGCCUCCUGACCAGUCCCAUUUCUUGGCUCCUCUCACCCUAUUUUUUGUACAAAGUUUUUGACAGGUUUCAAAUCAGUAUACCACAACAAAAACAACAGUUCUGACAGAUUUCUUUUGGUAUGGAGCUGAGAUCUCUUGGCAAUUACAGCAGGAGAGCAGCCUCAUAGACACACCCAAUUGCAUCCUCACUGUCCCUCAAGGCCAAAUUGACCCUACAGCAAAUGCUAGUUUUGCAACUGCCUGAGCUAGUGUCAUCUGGGGGCUCUGCUCAGCCGGACAACAUACUUCCCUGCCUUCAAGGCCCUCACAGCAAGACUGAACAUUAACUGCUGCUCAGGCCCAGUGAAAGCAAGGGCAAAGUCACCACACUGACAACCAAGUAGUCGUCCUGGGGCAAUUGGACAGUGCCUGUGAAUCUAGCAACAUUUUUGCUCAGCUGGGUGCUCUCUCUCCACAGACAACCAUUAAGCAGCAACAGUAUCCUUACC
ensembl:lncRNA